UCGAGCGAACAGAUAAGGGAGCUUGCUCCUUUGGACGUUAGGCGGCGGACGGGUGAGUAACACGUGGAUAACCUACCUAUAAGACUGGGAUAACUUCGGGAAACCGGAGCUAAUACCGGAUAAGAUUUUGAACCGCAUGGUUCAAUAGUGAAAGACGGCCUUGCUGUCACUUAUAGAUGGAUCCCCGCCGUAUUAGCUAGUUGGUAAGGUAACGGCUUACCAAGGCAACGAUACGUAGCCGACCUGAGAGGGUGAUCGGCCACACUGGAACUGAAACACGGUCCAAACUCCUACGGGAGGCAGCAGUAGGGAAUCUUCCGCAAUGGGCGAAAGCCUGACGGAGCAACGCCGCGUGAGUGAUGAAGGUCUUCGGAUCGUAAAACUCUGUUAUCAGGGAAGAACAAACGUGUAAGUAACUGUGCACGUCUUGACGGUACCUGAUCAGAAAGCCACGGCUAACUACGUGCCAGCAGCCGCGGUAAUACGUAGGUGGCAAGCGUUAUCCGGAAUUAUUGGGCGUAAAGCGCGCGUAGGCGGUUUUUUAAGUCUGAUGUGAGAGCCCGGGGGCUCGAC
rnacentral:rRNA from 1 species